rnacentral:rRNA from 1 species
GACGAACGCUGGCGGCGUGCUUAACACAUGCAAGUCGAACGGAAAGGCCCCUUCGGGGGUACUCGAGUGGCGAACAGGUGAGUAACACGUGAGUAACCUGCCCUUGACUUCGGGAUAACUUCAGGAAACUGGGGCUAAUACCGGAUAGGAAUCCUUGCUGCAUGGUGGGGGUUGGAAAGCUUCGGCGGUUUUGGAUGGACUCGCGGCUUAUCAGCUUGUUGGUGGGGUAGUGGCUUACCAAGGCUUUGACGGGUAGCCGGCCUGAGAGGGCGACCGGCCACAUUGGGACUGAGAUACGGCCCAGACUCCUACGGGAGGCAGCAGUGGGGAAUAUUGCACAAGGGGCGGAAGCCUGAUGCAGCAACGCCGCGGGCGGGAUGACGGCCUUCGGGUUGAAAACCGCUUUCAGCAGGGGCGAAGCUUGUGGUGACGGUACCUGCAGAAGAAGCACCGGCUAACUACGUG